UGGAAAGUGAUCGUAGAUUACAAAACAAGUUUCAUGGAAGUCAAUCAAUUACUGUAGCCACAAUUCAUCAUCUUCUUGCCAACUCAUUGACUCACAUUGGAGCAUUUGCUGAAGCUAAGCAAAAUAAGAGAAAAGCAUACAAUAUCUAUAGGACUAAAUUUGGCCCAGAUCAUGCACGUACUGUUCAGUCUU